rnacentral:lncRNA from 1 species
GAAACUCAGUUCAGAACUCACCGGAGCUGCCGUCUGGGAGGGGGGAGGGCGGAAGAACCCUGAGGUUUUUCCUCACAUUUCUGUCCCAUUUUUGGAACCUCUGGAUUUAAAGAAAUGAAAACCUCAAGUUUGUGGAGAUUUUAAGAAAUGGUUAUUCCAAUGGAAACAGCUGGAGAACUUAUAUUUCCGUGAGAAAAAAUUUGCUGUUGAAGUUCAUGAUCCACGAAGGAUUUCAGUUUCAAGAAGAACCUUUGGGCAAAGUGGCUUGUUUGUGCAAACAUGGUAUGCUAACUCUUCUCUCAUCAAGUCCAUUUGGGUAAUGGCAAUUAGUCAGCAUCAGUUUUACUUGGACCGGAAGCAAAGCAAAGUAAGUAACUGGCAUCAUUUCUAUAGGGACAGAUUCCCCUUUUGCAUUCUGUUCAGAAGAUAAGCCUUCUCACAAAAGAUGCAAGCACAUAUAUUUUUGCUCUCUGAGAUUUUUUUGCGUUUAACUUCCAACUAUUUCAGGUUUUUUAUAUGUUUACAUGAUGGGCAAUAUAUAAGCUGCU